ACGCACGCUGGCGGCGUGCCUAAUACAUGCCAGUUGAGCGCUGAAGGUUGGUACUUGUACCAACUGGAUGAGCAGCGAACGGGUGAGUAACGCGUGGGGAAUCUGCCUUUGAGCGGGGGACAACAUUUGGAAACGAAUGCUAAUACCGCAUAAAAACUUUAAACACAAGUUUUAAGUUUGAAAGAUGCAAUUGCAUCACUCAAAGAUGAUCCCGCGUUGUAUUAGCUAGUUGGUGAGGUAAAGGCACACCAAGGCGAUGAUACAUAGCCGACCUGAGAGGGUGAUCGGCCACAUUGGGACUGGGACACGGCCCAAACUCCUACGGGAGGCAGCAGGAGGGAAUCUUCGGCAAUGGACGAAAGUCUUACCGAGCAACGCCGCGGGAGGGAAGAAGGUUGUCGGAUCGUAAAACUCUGUUGGUAGAGAAGAACGUUGGUGAGAGUGGAAAGCUCAUCAAGUGACGGUAACUACACAGAAAGGGACGGCUAACUACGUG
rnacentral:rRNA from 1 species